ensembl:lincRNA 9430002A10Rik RIKEN cDNA 9430002A10 gene
AAAAGGCUGGGCAGACAUGGCAGUCUGGUAAUCGUUGUAAUCAGUCCCUGGAAGUCUUAUCAGACAUAGCAGAUGUGCCAUGAUGGUAAUGGACUGAACCUCUGAACUGCAAGCCAGUCCCAGUUAAAUGCCCUUUAGAAAUGUUGCCAUGAUCAUGAUGUCUCUUAGAGCAAUGGAAGCCCUAAGAAGUUUGUGCCAGGAACUGGGGUAUUGCUGUUGAUAGGCCUGACUAUGCUUUUGUUUGGAGGAAUAAGGAACCUUUGGGACUUUGGACUAGAAAAGCAAAUGGACAUUUUAAGCAGGGCUUAUGGGCCAUCCUAGCAGCAAGGAAGACAAUGGUGCUGAGGGCGAUUUGAACUGUAGGGGCCUGGCCCGUGAGGUUUCAGAGAAGAAUUUUAGUGUGUUGCCUUGGCUGUGGUGUAUCUUCAAAGCAAUAGAACGGUGUCUAAAACAGCAAUGAACAAUCCAAAAA